rnacentral:rRNA from 1 species
GAUGAACGCUGGCGGCGUGCCUAGUACAUGCAAGUCGAGCGAACGGACGAUUAUCUUGCUUCUCUGUUGUUUGCGGCGGACGUGUGAGUAACACGUGUAUAACCUACCUAUAAUUCUGGUAUAACUUCGUGAAUCCUUAUCUAAUACCGGAUGUUAUUUUGAACCGCAUUGUUCAAUUGUUGAAUUCGUUCUUUCUGUCUCUUCUAGAUGUAUCCGCGCUGCAUUAGCUAGUUGGUAAGGUAACGGCUUACCAAGGCAACGAUGGAUAGCCGACCUGAGAGGGAGAGCGGAGACACUGGAAGUGAGACACGGAACAGAGGCCUACGGGAGGGAGCAGUAGGGAAUAGUCCGAAAUGGGCGAAAGCAUGACGGAGCAAAGCCGCGUGAGAGAAGAAGGAAUGAGGAUCGUAAAAAAAUGUUAUUAGGGAAGAAAAUAUGUGUAAGGAAAUGUGAAGAGAAUGACGGUAACAAAUAAGAAAGAAACGGCUAACUACGUG